rnacentral:tRNA from 1 species
GGGCCCAUACCCCAACAAUGAGGGGCAAUCCUUCCUCUCCUAACUC